CUCAUGGCCGAGACCCCGCACUCCGUCCUCGUCGUCGACCACCUCGUCGACCCACCCCCGCCCCACGUUGCCGGCUGCAUCUCCUUCCGCUGCCUCAACGCCAUGAACAACUCCCGCCUGGAGGGCCUCAUCAAGACGUCCGAUCUGGUGCGCCCCUCCCCACCUCCCCUCCCUUCCCCGCUCACUCCUGUCCUCUAAGCGGAUUGGUCUGCAAAAUUUUGUUAUUGUCUCCUUUAGUGUUCUUGAGCUUGCUUCAUUUAAUUGGGUUGGGUGAAGACGUUGGUAGUACAAGGAAAGAAGUACAGCAUCAGGCUGCAGAAAUAUCUUUAAGAAAUUUGGCAAGUAAGUUUGUUUUAUUGCAUAUUUGUACUAACCUCUCCAGUUUCGUUUUCGCAGAUAUAAGAUAAUAUGUUAUGUAAUCAAGAGAUUCAUUUUAAAUUUGGAUUGUUCACAUGUUUACUCGAAGCAUAUAUGCUCUACUGUGUGGAGUUGAUUUUUCCCUUUUUAGCACCAUCUAUCUUGGAAUUAGAUUGGAUACUGUGAGAAUAUAAUCAUGACUAUUUCUUGAUGGGUACUUGCUGCAUGAUUUUUCCACUGCAUGUCCAAGUUUACAUGUGAAAGGAUCUUGCUUGAUUCCAUUCUACUGGUUCAUCUGAAUUACCGAAUACAGAUGCAGGUCUCCUGUAUCUUCACUAAUUUCCUCUGUAGGUUCCUGUUUAGGGAGAAAAGAAAAUCCUGUUAUCCUCGUCCAGGGAUAGACCAUUUGGCACCAAUGAAUCAGCUGUUGAGUACAAAUAAUGUGGGAAGUUCUUCUUUGGCAAUCACGAUGUGUUCGUACAUAUGGUUGAAAGGAUCGCGUUGAUAGUGUUGCUACUUGCUACCAAUGCUUUUGUUGAGGUAACAACUGUCAAUUAAAUACAACUUGAUUUCGGUGUCGAUGUAGUUUGAGUUUAAUUUUACAUAGGGAAGUGAGAAGCUAAUGUUCUGCCGGUUUACAGAAAGUUGUCCUUGUUGAUCUGCUUUCGUUUGGGAAGAUCAUCCUUUCUAUGAUUUGUGAUGUCUUCCCAUAUUAUAUUCUACUGCUUCAUUCCUUAAUUUUGUACCCGAAUGUCUCUGUAUCGUCAGGAUUUAGCUGAUGAUGAAUAGUAGUACAGCGCAUAUCUGUUCAGUUAAUUUGCAGUCCUGAACUGCUGAUUGAUUCUUAAAUCUGUUCAUGAGGGAUGACAUUUGGUGCAUUAAAAAUGCAGUAUGUUGCCAUUUGAGUAGUAUUCAAUCUGUUGUGCUUGUACUAAGCUGUGGCUAUGUCCUAUGUGCCUUCCAUGUCACAGCUUACUGCUUGCGCAGAAGCACAGGUUGCUUUAGCCAAGCACCAAUUAACAGAGAUGAAAUAGGUUGCUUUAGCCAAGCACCAAUGAACUUCACUGACUCAAGUAGAUUAAGUCCAAUACCAUUAUUUCGUUUGUGUUAUCCUUAUAUUUUAAGAAGUGAACUGGUUUACUAAAGUUCAAUCUGUGCACUUGUUUGUACUUGGUAGAAUUACUGCUUUCUAUCAUGAGCUCACAAGGAAGCCUGAUUUUUGUGGGUGAUUGAAUAGCACCAACUAAAAUCCUCAGGAAGUACAAGUAUGCUAUGAAGAUCUAUUGCCAGUUAUGCGUAUCUGAAUUUUUUGUUCUAUUUUCUGUAAUAUUAAUAUUACAAGCAAGAAUAGUUAUAGGCUAUCAAGAAUCUGAACUUUAUCUCAUUUAUUGAAUACAGAUGCCGAUCUCCUCCAUUUGUGUCUGUUGUUUUGAUUUAGUAUUCUACUGCCUCAUUCGUUAAUUUAUGCCCGAAUGUCUCUGUAUCUUGAGGAUUUAGCUGGUGAUGAAUACACCGUAUAUCUGUUCAGUUAAUUUGCAGCCCUGACAAACUGCUGAUUGAUUCAAUGCAAGAGAUGACAUUUGGUGUUAUGACAGAUUCGGUGCAUGGAUUUGUUGUUCUUGCAGGAGGCUGCAGACCUGUUGUGUUUGCUGCUGGGUCCUGGUUGCCCUGGAGUGUUAAAUUCAGAACGUAAGUGAAUGAUCACUGUACCCCAGCCACCCGGCUUGGCACAAGAUAGGAAAAGUGGUUUGGUGUACAAGGAGACUACAACUUUUUUGUUAAGGACUGCUGGGGCCAAGUCUGGUGGAUCUGUUUAAUUUUUGUAGCAGAGCAGUUCCGCUCUCUGUUUAUUGCCCAAAUGCGGUACAUAGGGCAGGAGGGGCAGGGCGGAGGUUCGACCUCCUGCACCUUCCAUCCCAGGCCUAUCUUUGUCAUUCUCGGCGGCCGGCCGAGCUCUGCGCUCCGGAACAACCAAAACAUGCUUGAGAUCUCAGUAAAAAAAAAGGAUUUUGUUUUACUGUGUUUGCUCUAAAAAAUUGUUCUGGCCAUUUCACUGGGGAUGCAGUGG